UACGAAGGGGGCUAGCGUUGCUCGGAAUUACUGGGCGUAAAGCGCACGUAGGCGGCUUCUUAAGUCGGUGGUGAAAUCCCGGAGCUCAACUCCAGAACUGCCUUCGAUACUGGGAAGCUCGAGUCCGGGAGAGGUGAGUGGAACUGCGAGUGUAGAGGUGAAAUUCGUAGAUAUUCGCAAGAACACCAGUGGCGAAGGCGGCUCACUGGCCCGGUACUGACGCUGAGGUGCGAAAGCGUGGGGAGCAAACAGG
rnacentral:rRNA from 1 species